AAGGGUGUUACUGUUGCUCACUGAACUUCUUAGUGGUCAUUUGAUUUGCCUGGCCGCUAUGCAGCCGAGAGGGUGGGCCUGCAGUUGCUAAGGUAUCAACUGGCAGCUUUAAACCAACCUUGCUCCAGGCCGCUUUGUGAUGUCAUGCUGGGGACAGAGCUCUGCCACUAACCUUCUUCCUUUGCUAGCUUGCUUUUGGUCCUUCCUUUUCAGCUGCCGCCCUGCCAGCUCUGCCCAGAGGUAAUUCUUCCCUCCAAGAGUUGCAGGUUGUCCCUCAGCAGUGGCUGCCUGCAGUAGCCACGGGUCCUGGUCUCCUGCUCCUACCAGCUCUCCCAGGGCCAGUCUCUUCACUCUUCUUCAAGUGGGGAGGGACAAGCAUACCCUCCCCAGAGAUCGUGUGACGCCAUCAAUAUACCAGGAAGGAAGUGCUAGGAUCCUGCACCCAUGAUGACUCGGGGACCAUAAGCUACCAGAGGGAGGGGCUGGCAGGAAUUUCUGUCUUCAGGACCAUGACGAUAACAACAACAGUGACAACAGCAAAUAUGUACAAAUCACUGAGCAUGAAUGAGGUACCACAUAUAUUAUGCACUUAUCCUUAUCAAAUGUUUAUACUAGUAAUGUUUAUUUGCAUUAAAACCAAGGCACAGAGAAAUAAAGCAAUCAUUUAAGACUACACAGCCCACCAGCAGUACACCUAGGAUUCAAACUCAUUUGAUACUCAAUAUUUGUUGCAGAAUUUGCAGUUUACUCAGCUCUACAUUCUCUCAAUUGAUCCUUAGAGUAAUUCUGCAAUGCAAAGGGGACAGAAAUGGCCAUCCUCACUUUAUAGAUGAGGAAAGGAAGAAUCAGGGAAUUUCACACCUCCAGUGAGUUGCUGAGGUAGGGCUUGAACUCAUUUUGUUUCUGACAAUUGACACCAAGCCUGAGCUCCUUCUUCUAAGUCUGACCUUACAGGGGCCUCCCUAGGUACACAGCUCCCAGCUGUGGGCCUUUUUGGAUCUCUGUGCUUUGAUUGUGUUUGAUUUAUUUAAAAGCGACCCUAUCUUACAUCAAUCCGGGGUUAACUGGUGUGAGUGGUGAGCAUUUCGACUUCCCAAAGAGCUCCCUGCCUGGGGAGGGCCCUGAUGAGUGGAGAAGAGGAACCAGACGCUUCCUUGCCUGGCUUUGGCAAAUGGCUUUAUGCUGAUUCCUUUCCAAGCAUCUUUUACUGACAGAGCAAUUUCUCAGCAC
rnacentral:lncRNA from 1 species